GACGAACGCUGGCGGCGCGCUUAACACAUGCAAGUCGAGCGAAGCGGCGGACGGGUGAGUAACCCGUGAGUAACCUGCCUUAGACAUUGGGAUAGCCUCGGGAAACCGGGAUUAAUACCACAUGGUCUAAGAUGGACUUGAGUCCCAUUAGCAAGCUGGUGAGGUAAAGGCCCACGAAGGGGACGAUGGGUAGCCGGCCUGGGAGAGUGGACCGCUACCUUGGAACUGGGAAGCGGUCCAGACUCUACGGGAGGGAGGAGUGCGGAAUAUUGCACAAUGGAGGGAAGUAUGAUGCAGCGACGGCUCGUAAACAAAUAAAGCGUUCGAGUCGUAAAGUUCUUUUAUAUGGGAAGCGGUACCAUAAGAAAAAGCCCUGGCUAACUACGUGCCAGCAGCCGCGGUAAUAC
rnacentral:rRNA from 1 species